AGACGAAGAGGAGGAGGAGGACAGAGUUGCCAUGGUGACCAUCAAAAGCGACUCGAUCAGAAACGACUACUAAGGGGUGGGUAUAGCAGCCCCUUUAUCGCGCGCGACUUUGUUGUACACGCGGGCCGGUCGCGAACCGGAAAAUACGCCCGUCUGACCACUCUCGGGCUUUCUCUACUGGUCCGCCUUUGCGGAUGAGCUGUGAAGCACUCUUUUCGAGGAGAGAAAAAGGGAGCACGGAUGAGCCAGGGAUUCGGCUUCCUUUGAGAGCCGGAUUUCAUAGGCAAAGAGUAGCGCUGUUUUUGAUUAUGGCGAAUGAAGUGAUAUACGCGGCUUUCCGAUGGAUUGGCGCGCGGUUGACAAUCUUUUAUUGUCUUAAAAUUCAUUAAAAAAUGCUGGAAUCAACUAUUAAUGGAUGCUAAUUGUACAAGUGAACGAGGAUACAUGUAAUUAUCAAUGGAUUUGCAAAUGCGAGCGACUGCGAGAAGUGAAGAUAGAAAUACACACAACAAAUGCAAUGGCCUUGCGAAAAAAAGAAGAUGAAAAAAUCGCGAAACGAGAGCGAAGCGCAUUCGUUAAUAAAGUGCUGAAGUGAAUCGCCAACGAGAAAUCCAAUUACAACUUUUGGUCAUGUUUGCUCAAAGUCGAAGAACAAGUUUGCCAACUUUGAGGUGCUAAAACUUGGUACUUUCGUGACUUUCGGUCCUACGCUCUGGCUCGCGUCUGUCUCUUAAUUCACCUUUCUUGCGCGGCAACGUUUAAGGAUUCCAUCAUAUUCAGCCAUUCGAUUCUACAAUGACAACAAUGACACAAAACAAGUUUAUAUAAAAAUCGGUCUUUAUGCGUACAGUGAAAAGGUUUUAUGCAAGAGCACAACAAGAAACUAAACAAGCUCGACGUAGAGAUCACGAUGAGUAUUGGCAAUAUAACUCUCGGUCGUGACGUCAUCAAGAUGGACGCCUAGGCCAUGAAAAAUAGAUUAGUAGUAUACAAAGCAAAGUAGUUUUUACUAAUUUUUGACAGAAAAAUAACGUGACAGCUCUUAAAUUUUAUAUAUGUGAUAACGCAUAUAAUUUACUAUAAGAUGAUGGUACUUUUCCCUCCCUGAAAUUGUUAAUAUGUUUUAUUUAGGAUGAUCAAAGCAUUGUAUAGGUUAUAGAGCAACAUGGAAUGUAAUAACCAAAAAGAGGCAGGCAUGCAAUUUUCAC